UAAUAUAUAAUUUUACAUUGUAUGCCUUUUAGGAUCAUAAACAGUACUUCUACAAGAAAGCAUACAAACAUGAGUUGACAAACUAACAUUUUCACAUUAUCUUUGGGACAAGCAGAAAAUCAUGCUUUGAAUGGACUUGCUUUACCUGAAACAGGCUUGAUCAUCAGAUCCAUAUUUCACUUUCAAGAAUAGACACACUAUUUCCUUUUGGCGUAGACAAAGGCUCUUCCAGGUAAGACAGUAUUUUACCUUGCAAUCAUACAACGUCAAGCAAGAGUCAUUGUUUUAAAGGAACUGAACCU
rnacentral:lncRNA from 1 species